rnacentral:rRNA from 1 species
UUCCGUCUAGAGAGCGGCCUGCGUCUUAUUAGGUUGUUGGUGGGGUAAUGGCUCACCAAGCCAAAGAUGGGUACCGGGUGUGAGAGCAUGGCCCGGCUCACUGGGACUGAGACACUGCCCAGACACCUACGGGUGGCUGCAGUCGAGAAUCUUCCGCAAUGGACGAAAGUCUGACGGAGCGACGCCGCGUGCGGGACGAAGGCCUUCGGGUUGUAAACCGCUGUCAGUUGGGAGGAAAUCACAUGGGGCUAUCCCCAUGUGUUGACCGAUCUUCAGAGGAAGCGCAGGCUAAGUUCGUGCCAGCAGCCGCGGUAACACGAACUGCGCAAACGUUAUUCGGAAUUACUGGGCUUAAAGAGUUCGUAGGCGGUCUGUCAGGUGAGGUGUGAAAGCCCUCGGCUCAACCGAGGAAUUGCGCUUCAAACCGGCAGACUUGAGGGAGACAGAGGUGAGUGGAACUGAUGGUGGAGCGGUGAAAUGCGUUGAUAUCAUCAGGAACACCAGUGGCGAAGGCGACUCACUGGGUCUCUUCUGACGCUGAGGAACGAAAGCUACGGGAGCGAACGGGAUUAGAUACCCCGGUAGUCCCUAGCUGUAACGAUGAGCACUAGAUCGAGGGGGCUCCCACACCCUCUCGGUCGUAGCGAA